rnacentral:misc_RNA from 1 species
CAAAGAUAGAAUCACAACAUAACAAGUUAGCUUGGUCUUUAGUCGGUGGACGAGCCUCGUUAACACCCCCCCUCAAGCUGGAGGGGGAGAACACUCCAAGCUUGCAUAAAAUUCCAUGAUGAAGAGGACCAGCAAGGGCCUUGGUCAUAAUAUCAGCGAGCUGGGCAGAACUGUCAGAAAAAAACUAGAACAAGAGCAGAAAUGGACAAGUCGAGAUCACCAAGUAAUCUUAUCAACAAAGAGACCUCAGCAACAACCUUUCUAAGAGCCCAGUAUUCAGCUUCAGCAGAGGACAAAGAAAUGAUUGGUUACUUUUUACUCUUCCAAGAGAUGGGACUUCCACCAAGUGUGAUAAAAAAACCCAUAACAGAUUUGCGAGUAAUAGCACAUGAAGCCCAGUCAGAAUCAGAAAAUGCAACAAGAGACAUGUCAGGUGUAUCGGUGAGCAAAAUACCCUGAGCAGGAUCAUUCAAAAGGUAGCGUAGCACAUGGAGAGUAGCCAUCAUAUGGGGCACCUGGGUUUUUUUUUGGGAGGAAAUUGACUUAGGUGUUGAAUUGAAAAGGCAAUGUCUGGACGAGUGUGUUGUAAAAAAUUGAGCUUGCCAACAAUCCUCCUAUACACAUUAGGAUCAGUAACAGGGGCAUUCAUAUCCAAACACAUUAGGAUCAGUAACAGGGGCAUUCAUAUCCAA